UAGAACAUAGUAUAGUGGAAGUAUGUGGAGUUUUGAUCUCCAUGGGGCAGGUUCAAGUCCUGUUUUUCUAA
rnacentral:tRNA from 1 species